CUGCGCGCCAUGUGGGACCCUCCUCCGGUGGCCGGGGAGCAGCCGGGGAUCGAACCGACGCUGCAGAGGCUGCGGGCAGCUUCGCAACCCAGUGCUCAACUGCUGCGCAACCGGGGAAGCCCCUACUCCUGGACGAGAAGGAAUUGAAAUACUAUUCAUGGAGUCAGAAAUACCAGAAGUUUCCGCAGUCCAUAAGAUAAGUAAUCAGUAGCACUCCCAUUGAAACUUAGUCAAUGCAGGCCACACCUGUGCCCGUAACCACUGUGAGGAUGAGUUUUGCACUGGUAGAGCUACUCACCAUGUUCUCUGAGCAGGUCAUUGUCUUCUGUGGUAAAUCUGAAGCCAUAGAAGUUUAUAUCCUCUGCUGCUUUGUGUAAAUUCCAGGUAUGUCUGUAUCUCUCAGGCAAGAUAUGAAAAUUCACCAAUUGUGGUAAGAAUGCAAGUGUUCUGCAAGAAUUGGUAUGGGUAGGAAUUUCCCUGAGCCUACAUGUCUCUGGAUGUUGAAAACAACAGCUCCUGUUAUAGGAGAGUUUGGCCUCAGAUUCCAAAGCCAGAACCAGAAGUGCCAGGUACCCCUCUGUAGUGAGGUGUUGGAUUUUGCCCAUAACCAUCAUCAAACUAGUCCUCACGAAUGUACUCAUCCCUACUUCAGAGAUGUGAAAUAGUUGAAGUGGAAAAGAAGAGAGAAUCUUCUGAGGUAGCUUCUUAAAGAGACAUUUUCUCACCUCAUAACAGAGAGAGAUACUCCGGUUUUCCCUAUUUUGAAGCAAGUGCCAGAGACCUCAGAAACUUGCCCCAUUAGGGUUCCUUAGCACUGUACUCACUGCAGCCACUCUUAGCACCUUUUGACUUCUUUAAAAAAAAGAUGUCUCUCCAUAAAUCCCACUAGUCCAUAGAUCUCUGACUGAAGGUGAGACCCAAGUUUGCAUUGGAAAUCUUCCCUUUCUAAUGUUUUAUUUUGAAAACAACCAGGGCGUCACAUGGCUAGAAAGAGUUGCACGACCCCCAUUUGUGCCUGUGUCUAUGGGCCCACAUCUGGCUCUCAGAGUGGUGGGAAGAAGUGACACUGCCUGAAGGUCCUCUGGAUUCUAAACUGCUCAAUGCGCUGGAAGGUGAGAGGAUUCACCAGAGACAGAGCGGGGAACAGAACACCAGACUGACUGAAAUACACUGCUGAGGGGAGCAGCGGGUGAGACAGGAGAGGUCUGCUGCGCCAUGUGGGAUUCUCGCCAUCCAGCCGGGAUCGAAACCACGUUGCAGAGGCUGCGGACAGCUUCACAGCACUGCGCUCAACUGCUUGCGCCACCAGGGAAGGCCCCACUACCAUGUAUUUUUUAAAACAGGGAUACAGGCCAGAGGCGUGGGAGAGGGAGAGGAUUCACCGGAGACAGAGCGGGGAACAGAACACCAGACUGACGAAAUACACUGCUGAGGGGAGCAGCGGGCGCGACAGGAGAGGUCUACUUCGCGGCGUGGGAUUCUCGCCAGCCGUCCAGGAUCGAACCUGUGCUGCAGAGGCCGCGGACAGCUUCACAGUGCAGCGCUCAACCGCCUACGC